GUCAUUUAGAAGCUUGCUAAAAAUGUAGCAAGAGGCCAGGAUUAUUUUUAGUUGGAAAAGCUUCAUUUACUUCUCACAAGGUACAGGAGAGGAGAACACCUUUAAAAAUGGAGACCUAUGUCACUUUUACAAAGGAAAAUUUAUGCUGUGAUUUUAGGCAGAAAGUUGACACCAGAGAAUUCUUCCUGCUGCUUCUCAAUUUCCUUCAGCUCAAAAAUGAUCCUUAUGCCAAUAUGGAAUAUUUUUGGGGUGGCAUAUUCUGCUCCUCUUCAGCAUCCUUCCUGCUCUGUGGCCUGUUGUGCUUCAAUUUCGUCAUCUUCAAAACCAGGAAGAGCUAUAUUCAUCUUAUCUCACAAAGCUGAUUAACAUAAAUGAAGGAGCCUUGGAAAAUGGAAAGCAUUAUACAAAUAAACAUAGUCUCACUCUUUUUCCCAGGCUGGUCUCAAACUCCAGGGCUCAAGCAGUCCUCUGUCCUCAACCUCCCAAAGUGCUGGGACUACAGUAGGGUAUAACCACAUGACUAAUGUCACAUAUAAAAAUGGAGAACGGGUGCACAUUAAAGAGUAGAGGUGCCUUCCACCAUGACUGUAAGUUUCCUG
rnacentral:lncRNA from 1 species